rnacentral:snoRNA from 1 species
CUUCGGGCUGAUAACUAGACAAUGAUUUCGCGUUACACGAUCUUUGUCCUUUAAGUGUCCGAUACAUUGAAUUUCCUGCGUACAACUUACACGUCUUCGGAACCCUUCCAUGAUGUCUGAUGUUUAUUUGGCCGCAACAUAU